UCCUUUACCGAGUGCCCGAAAUCCGGCCCUCGGCAAAUCAAAUAACCCUCGGCAGCGUUGCUGUUUCCAGUAGUGAUUUGUUAAUUAAGCAUGUUGGCAUGUUGCUUCUGAAAUAUUUAGUACGGUAAGGAAAGUUUAAUAGUGCCCAUUCAUUAAAAUAUUGGAGUCAAAAUUAAAUGUAGUUCUGAGCACUUGCACAACCAGUGAGCUUCUUUUAUGAUGAAAAAUAGCAUUCGGCUUCAUCUCCUGACAAGAGUAAUUAGAUUAAACUUAUUACAAGGUUCCCAACACAAAAAGUCACACAGUUCUCAGAUGCAUUUAAUUAAAUCUAUCAAAAAUGCCGGUGCAUUGCAACGAGAUUUAGAAUCUAUAACUGGAUGAUUUGGAGUUUGAAAAUUCAACAGUUAUAUUAUGUGUUUCAGCAUCUUGUAGUCGGACUUUAUAUCAUGCCAUGACUACCUCAUUGAAAAUAAGAGGCUCAAAGAUUAAUUAUUAUGUCAUGUUUCUAUUGGUUUUAAGAUUAUAUUUCAGUCACACUAUUUUCACUUGUCCAUGCUUAAAAACAUU
rnacentral:lncRNA from 1 species